UUGAUUUCGAACUAGCUGGUUGGGGGGCAGCGAUGGAAGAUUUUCGUUCCCUCUUGGAGAUGCUUGGUGGCCAUUGAUUUUCGUUUGGGGAGUCGAGAUGCGAAUCCAGCGGCCCUUUCGGUUUAUGAAAUUGUGUCUGUUCGUUGUGAUAUUUUCCAUUGUUUCUGCAACCUUCAUCUCAGGCACCUUUCUACGAGUUCUUGCGUCCUUUGUCAUCGGGAUGAUUCAGAAAUCGUUGCAAUGAUCAAAGAAUUGUUGGAGACUCACAUCCGACUAAAAAUAGAAAUUUUUUACGAGUGGGAUCGAGAAUCAUUAUUAAUUCGACACAAGAAAGGGUUGUGGAAAAUUCCAGCAGUGCAAGAUGAUGGUGGCGACAUUGAGUAUAGGGGAUUUGAUCCUGUUGCCGUUCCAGCUGCCCUUCAUCCUUCUUCUCAUCGCACGGGUUUAGCUAUUUCUAGGUUUCGUAAAAAAAGAGGAAGAUCGAAGGAAAAAGAAUUAGAGUAAUCAAAUGUCUAAGGAAAUGGUAUGAUCUACUAAUUUCCCACAAAGAAGAGCUUGGACAACUCAUUACCUUGGAGCAAGGGAAACCUCUAAAAGAAGCCAUUGGUGAGGUGAGUUACGGGGCUGGGUUUAUUGAGUUGUAUGCUGAGGAGGCAAAACGUGUAUAUGGUGAUAUCAUACCACCAACUCUUUCUGAUCGACGGUUGUUUGUUUUGAAGCAGGUUCUUGGGUAAUCACUAAUGCUAUAUAAGAGCUGAGGUAUUUAUAGCUAGAUUACAACAUAUUGGGUUAUGAGAGAGAAUUUUCCAAUCUUUGAUGACAACGACAAUGCAGAGAUAGUUGUUUUGGGAUUUUGAUUGUUUUGAGAUUUUGCAUAGUGUUUUUAAAUGGCGCAAUUACAUCUAUUCGUGGACCUUGAAAUAGAAACAAGGCUUUUGAAUUGGUAAUGGGAGGUGACUCUUCGUGCUUGAACAAAGGCUUGCCAUUGCCCUUACUGCUGUUGUGGGACAGAGCCAGCAUAUAUAUAUAUAUAUAUAUAUAUGCAGAAGUUACGAACAACACGGAAUGUUGACUGACUUUGAAGGUGCUACAAAAAAAAAACGUAGGGUUCCGCUUUUGGUCUAGCAAAGAGGCCAGGAUAUAUACAAUUAGGAUUGAAAAUGUUGAUUUAACAAUUGAAGUGUCUUGAAGAUUGUUGUUGAAUUUUGCAAGGGAGCCCAACUUGCUUUCAACCCUAAGUGCGAAAUUGGCAUCGAGAACUAAGUUUUGGCAGAUGUUAACUGUGUACGAGAGAGUCAAGAAGAGGCUGUGAGUAGGAGAAGGUUGAAAAUGGUAUUUUUUCCCCUUUCUUUUUCCUGUUUUCGUUCGAAACUUUUUGUUCACUUAUUCUCCCUGAAUUUUAUGUUCAAAGUAGUUAAAUUUUU